AAACAAACUAGACUCAGAAAAUUUUAUUUUCUUUAGUGUUCAUUCGUUAUUAUUACCAGAAUUCAUUAUGUUCAUAUUAUUAUACCAUUGUCUCCUUUAUUGUAAUAUUAUGCUAUUGGCCUAAACAGCAGAACCACUGUUUUUUCAUUGUCAUCUUCUUAAUCUGAAAUAAGUUUUAAAGGCUUUCUUAGUCUCCUAAAUAGGUCUCUGUUCAUUUUGACUCAGUCACUCCCAGUCAUUUUUGUAUUGAUCCAUGCCAUCAUUUCGUGUUCACUCUUAGAUGUAAGCACUCCUUUCC
rnacentral:lncRNA from 1 species